rnacentral:rRNA from 1 species
AUUGAACGCUGGCGGCAGGCCUAACACAUGCAAGUCGAACGAGUGGCGGACGGGUGAGUAAUGUCUGGGGAACUGCCCGAUGGAGGGGGAUAACUACUGGAAACGGUAGCUAAUACCGCAUACUAUCGGAUGAACCCAUAUGGGAUUAGCUAGUAGGUGGGGUAAUGGCUCACCUAGGCGACGAUCCCUAGCUGGUCUGAGAGGAUGACCAGCCACACUGGAACGGAGACACGGUCCAGACUCCUACGGGAGGCAGCAGUGGGGAAUAUUGCACAAUGGGCGCAAGCCUGAUGAAGCCAUGCCGCGUGGAUGAAGAAGGCCUUCGGGUUGUAAAGUACUUUCAGCGAGGAGGCGUUACCCGCAGAAGAAGCACCGGCUAACUCCGUGCCAGCAGCCGCGGUAAUAC